rfam:Schistosoma haematobium scaffold1189_16, whole genome shotgun sequence.
UCAUUAACUCCGCCUGUAGCUCUUAUAGGGUUGCUGCCGGUCCCAAGCCCGGGGAAAGGAGGAGGGUUGG